GAUCCUGGCUCAGGAUGAACGCUAGCUACAGGCUUAACACAUGCAAGUCGAGGGGCAGCAUGGUCUUAGCUUGCUAAGGCCGAUGGCGACCGGCGCACGGGUGAGUAACACGUAUCCAACCUGCCGUCUACUCUUGGACAGCCUUCUGAAAGGAAGAUUAAUACAAGAUGGCAUCAUGAGUUCGCAUGUUUCACAUGAUUAAAGGUAUUCCGGUAGACGAUGGGGAUUGG
rnacentral:rRNA from 1 species